CCUACGGGAGGCAGCAGUGAGGAAUAUUGGUCAAUGGGCGCGAGCCUGAACCAGCCAAGCAGCGUGAAGGAUGACUGUCCUACGGGUUGUAAACUUCUUUUAUAAAGGAAUAAAGUGAGGCACGCGUGCCUUUUUGUAUGUACUUUAUGAAUAAGGAUCGGCUAACUCCGUGCCAGCAGCCGCGGUAAUACGGAGGAUCCGAGCGUUAUCCGGAUUUAUUGGGUUUAAAGGGAGCGUAGAUGGGUUGUUAAGUCAGUUGUGAAAGUUUGCGGCUCAACCGUAAAAUGGCAAUUGAUACUGGCAGCCUUGAGUACAGUUGAGGUAGGCGGAAUUCGUGGUGUAGCGGUGAAAUGCUUAGAUAUCACGAAGAACUCCGAUUGCGAAGGCAGCUUACUAAACUGCCACUGACAUUGAUGCUCGAAAGUGUGGGUAUCGAACAGGAUUAGAUACCCUUGUAGUC
rnacentral:rRNA from 1 species